UACGGGGGGGGCAAGCGUUGUUCGGAAUUACUGGGCGUAAAGGGCUCGUAGGUGGCCAACUAAGUCAGACGUGAAAUCCCUCAGCUUAACUGGGGGACUGCGUCUGAUACUGGAUGGCUUGAGUUUGGGAGAGGGAUGCGGAAUUCCAGGUGUAGCGGUGAAAUGCGUAGAUAUCUGGAGGAACACCGGUGGCGAAGGCGGCAUCCUGGACCAACACUGACACUGAGGAGCGAAAGCCAGGGGAGCAAACGGG
rnacentral:rRNA from 1 species